UGGUUUCAGUAUUAGGUAUUAUAUAAAAAUGUCCUAAGACCCUGAAGACAUAGAUCGUCUUCCUCGUACCCCCUUCUAUGCUCCAUCGUUCCUCCGUCGGCGUCAAUGCUCCAAUCUUCACAAAAAAUACACCCUAGGUUCCUCUCUUCCUCCUCUUUCCAUAUCUAGCCUUAGUUUCCUCAAAUCCUCACCAAAAGUUUCGAAUAUCAAAUCGAAAUUUCCAGCCAAAACGCAAACUCGUCCAAAUCCGACCAAACUUACACCGUCUGAAUCUCCUUAACUCCCACAUCCCAAAUAUGCAACUAUUUUCCUUCGAAUACCACCAGAAUGUUUUGAAUCCCAAAUCGAAGUUUGGUCGAAUACUCUAAUUCCGUAAAAGUUGGGGAUUCUUCGAUUUUGGACUAUAAUAGCCCUUAAUCGUGUGUUUUCUCUUUAAAACACAUGAUUAAGGAUUGUUGUAACCCAAAAAAACAAGGAAAACUCACCAUUUCGAAUGCAGUCUGGUGCCUUUGUUUCCUUUUCUUUGUUUAAUCUUCUUUUCUUUUGUUUUUGUUCUCAUAAUUGCUAAUUGCUAGUUUAAUUUUGGUCAAUUUUGAUUCUGAUUUUGGGUUCUAAUUUUGUGGUUGAUUUUCCUUUCGGUUGUUUGUUUGAUUCAGUUUGUUUUGAUUCCUGAUUCUAGUUUUAUUCAAGAUUAGGAUUUGUUUCGAUACUUGUUCAAUUUAGUAAUUGUUUCUUUUAGCUUAAUGAUGAUUCUGUUAGUUUUGAUUGUUAUUAUGAUUUUUCUUUCGAUUAUAAAAAUUGUCUUCCUUCAUUUCAGUAUUACUCCUAAUGGAUUAAUUGAUAUUUAGGUAGUCUUGGUAAGCAUUUCUUUGAUUUUUACUCUGUAUUUGAUAAUUCUUUUAUUGGUUUUAGGUUAUUGGUUAUAGCUGAGUUUGUUUUGGUUAAUUAACCAGGGUUCAGUCAAAAGGAUAGGUUAAUUGUGACCUAGGUAAGUAAUUUCAGGGGUAUUUGGGUAAUUAGAACCGGACAUGAAUGUUUUUUAGAUCACACUGGAAUAUCCUAGGCUCUUCUACAAUAGGACUUUAGUGUAUAUUUCAGUAAACGUAGGGCAGUAACUUGAGAAACAAGUCAAAAAAUGAAGGUUUUAUAAGUGAAAUCUGAAACUAAAAGAGAUAAAAAAGUGCGAGUGCAAUUUAGAAGCUUCGCACCCCUCUUUUGCCUAUAAAAGGCAGCCAUUUAUGCCUCGUUUUUGAAAAACAAAAGCAUGCCAGAUCUCAAAAAUUCCCUCUAGAGCAUUCUCCAAGUUUUCCAACUAAAAUUUGAAUUACAAAACUCCAAAUCUUCAAACCCCCCCC
rnacentral:lncRNA from 1 species